CGUGUCUUACUGUGGCGGUACCGUCGUUUCGACGGGUUCGCGGACGGGUUACACACAUACGUCGCAGAUAUUGUGCAACACCACUGUGACGACGUCGGUCGCUUCGGUUGGCGGCAGAUCACAGCUUCUCUGGGUGCUCUCGUUAGUUGACGACGGAGCCGCUAAGAGUGGCACACGGUCGUGCGGGCAUCGAGGCUUAGUCGGCAGUCUCGCCAGCAAUAACUAGAAGAAGUCUAUUGAAGGCGCGCGCGUGCAAUUUCGCUGUGGCUUUCAAUUUGACUGAUUAGUUUGUGUACAGAAGAGCGUGUAAUAUCCGCGUAACCUCAAAACAAUCCUUGUGAACGUUUUGUCGCUAUCUACCGAUAAUCGAAAAACACGCGAAACGGGUGUGGACUGAGAUCAUAUAAUAUUUGGUGAAGAUAUCUCGAAUAUAACGUAAUCAAUUGAUUUAAAGUUUUAUGCGUGACAAAGCUGGAAUGAUGUGGAAAACGUUAUAUUGUUAAGGUCAAUUUUAUUAUUACCGGGAUAUAUUUUCAGCUGACGGUGAAAGGUUCAAAUUGAUCAGCAAAUUAAGUGCGAAAAGUAAGGUUUCUCUGCCGAUUGUAAAGAAAACAGUUACCUUCUCAAAAGUUCCCCACUGCCAUCUUUAGUUCAAUUACGCACACCAUCAAGAAACGCAUAAAAUGGUCCGUCUCGUAGUUCUACUGUUGUGCAUUUCCAUGACAACUACUCAGAAGCCAGGCAAUUCCAACCUGAAAGAGAAAGUAGACCUGGACCCACAAGUGCUUGAAAUUCAUCGUCAAAAUCUAAUUACUCAGAAAAUUCUGCAACGGUAUCUGGAGAGGCGAUUGCAUCCCGAAAGAAAGCCCCAGAUUCGAGUACCAUCUGUGGACGAAAUCUUAGCCAAAUCGCUGUCCUCCAGCUCGGUACGAGAUACGAGGCAACAGAACCAGAAUGGCACCAGUGUAUACAAAACUGGGUCAGCUGGCCGUCGUUACAACUUAUUCAGUGAUUACGGUAGUGAAACAGACGACGGAGAACGACGGCGGCUUCAGCAACAGCGGCUGCAGCAGGAUGACGAUGAAGACUAUGAAACAGAUCGUGACUUAGAUCAGUACGAUGAUCUGGGGGGUUCACUGGACAACGAUCACGUCGAUAUCGACUCGCUGCAGUCGGGCGAAUCGGAACACGUGGAUUCGUUCUAUCGUGAUAAACUCUACCGGCAUAAAGCUUCACAGCUCUCAGCUAACUACGAAUCCACCAUUGACGAUGAUAUUGGUAACCCAGCGCAGAGCAGAGCGAGCCAACCUGACAAUGAGCUUGUGCUUCUGGCAGAAUCUAGUCAUGAAGACAACGCUGACUUGAACUCGUUAGCAGAUGAGAUUCAACCCACCAAAGUGAGAGAAAAACGUCAGGCCAUUAAUAGCCGUACCAAUCGGCGCAGUAGAACUCCUCAACAGCGGGAACAAGCUAUAACUAAUCGAAUUGAUUCCAGAUAUUACAUCUCUGAUGAUUACAUCGAUUACACGACGACACCGAAGCUGAAUAAAAACUUACGUGACAAUUUGGCGGAAUACAGAAUCCUGUCAAAAAGCAAAGCAUCUGGCAAUGACAUCAGAACUAGUCGCCCGAGAACUACAUCCGGUCAAAGUACACUCACCAGAAAUACUGCGAGAACAAGAAAUCGCAAUACUUUAAAAUCGUUAGCAUACAAACCGACCUACAACACGCGAAGACCAUCGUUCACUUUAUCUGCCUAUGGUGGCAACAAAGCCACAGUUCGUGGAAAUUCUCGACGAGGAGGCAGUAAUCGAACGUACAAAGAUGAAGAACAACGCGUCAAUCGCUAUGGUCAUACCGCGACCAAUUCAGAUUGGCGCAGAAAAACCGUUAGUCUAGGCAGCACAAGUCUGCAGCCUAGUACCCCGGCCUUGACAGUGACAUUUUAUCUUUCGACUGAUGCUACAGUAUCAUUAGUUACCAAUUCUCGUACAGAAAUCAGUUUGAUCAAAACAACCACCACCAGCAUUGAGGAGAUAUGUACAACUUGUUUCUCAUUAACGCAAGGCCCGAAUGGACUACCGGUUCAUAUUCUGAACAAAGAAAUUACUUCCUUUAACACCGACGGUCUAUUCGAAAUAACCAAAUUUAUUCUGAGCUCUACUCCAACAACAUUGGUUUCGGUUUCUCAGAACACUUUCCGUGGCCGCCAGACAGCUUAUUCUGCUACGAUAUCCACCACAAUUUACGAAGCAAGUCCAUUUGUUCAAACCAAAGGAAAUAAUGCCAACAGUGUAGUGCUUUCUAAUGCACCAUUGGCUAACAUUCUUCUUUCGCAGCUACUUUUGGGAAAUCUCGGUGUAGGCGAACCAAACUUCGCCCCUAGAGCAACCGAAUUCAUUCCGGAUCCCAACCGCUAUCAAUUAGUCGUGACAACAAAUGUCGAAUACAAAACCCACGUGAAACAAGUGGUUAGCACUGUUACACAGACAAAAUCUAUUGUGUUACCGGUAACCUUCCAGGGUCGGGAGAUAUUGACUACCGUGUAUGACAGUGAAGUUACUCCGACGGUAAUUACUUCGUUUAUAACUGAAACUCUAACGGUACCAACGACGUCUACGAUCCGGAUCCAACCAACGACAGAUGAUCUGUCGAAUAGACUUAGCUUACUGCUUCCACUACUCGAAGAACGAGAACGGAGAAACCAACUGUUGUCCGCAGCAGCGGCCGAACCAGUGUUGCCAAUUGUAUCGACUCCUCCUCCCACCAUGACAAUGCUGUCCAGUGCAUCUGUUUCCAAGGUCUAUGUUUCCGGACAACAUCCGGGAGAGUUCAGCGUGUCAUUUACUACAAUACUCAACACGUGAACCAACGACUCUGCUAGAUUGGGUAGUAGGUGACGUAGAUCGAAUCUAGCAAACGCUUACAUUUUUGGAUAGAAUCAUUUGGGAUAAAUUCUUCCAAAAUUGCCAAUUUACAAUGUAGUCAAACGGGAACUACACAGACAGAGACAUUCAAAACUAAGUGCUAACGGAACGCAAGCUGAUAUUAUUGUAGUUGAAUAGCCCUUUUCUAGGAAAGCUGACGUUUAGUUAUGGUUUGUUAAUUUAGAUCACGAACUGCCCAAUAUUCUGUAGCAAUGUUCUGAUUAAUACUCUUAUGUAGUACUAUUUUGUACCAAUAAAACC